rnacentral:rRNA from 1 species
CCUACGGGAGGCAGCAGUGGGGAAUAUUGGGCAAUGGGCGAAAGCCUGACCCAGCAACGCCGCGUGAGGGAAGAAGGUCUUCGGAUUGUAAACCUUUGUCCUAUGGGACGAAACAAAUGACGGUACCAUAGGAGGAAGCUCCGGCUAACUACGUGCCAGCAGCCGCGGUAAUACGUAGGGAGCAAGCGUUGUCCGGAAUUACUGGGCGUAAAGGGUGCGUAGGUGGCCAUGUAAGUCAGGUGUGAAAGACCGGGGCUCAACCCCGGGGCGGCACUUGAAACUGUGUGGCUUGAGUACAGGAGAGGGAAGUGGAAUUCCUAGUGUAGCGGUGAAAUGCGUAGAUAUUAGGAGGAACACCAGUGGCGAAGGCGACUUUCUGGACUGUAACUGACACUGAGGCACGAAAGCGUGGGGAGCAAACAGGAUUAGAUACCCUGGUAGUCC